CGGGGGGGGCAAGCGUUGUUCGGAAUUACUGGGCGUAAAGGGCUCGUAGGUGGCCAACUAAGUCGGACGUGAAAUCCCUCGGCUUAACCGGGGAACUGCGUCCGAUACUGGUUGGCUUGAGUUUGGGAGAGGGAUGCGGAAUUCCAGGUGUAGCGGUGAAAUGCGUAGAUAUCUGGAGGAACACCGGUGGCGAAGGCGGCAUCCUGGACCAAUACUGACGCUGAGGAGCGAAAGCCAGGGGAGCAAACGGGAUUAGAUACCCCGGUGGUCCUGGCCCUAAACGAUGAAUGCUUGGUGUGGCGGGUAUCGAUCCCUGCCGUGCCGAAGCUAACGCAUUAAGCAUUCCGCCUGGGGAGUACGGUCGCAAGGCUG
rnacentral:rRNA from 1 species